GAUGAACGCUGGCGGCGUGCCUAAUACAUGCAAGUCGAACGAGAUCUUCGGAUCUAGUGGCGAACGGGUGAGUAACGCGUUGGUACCUACCCUGAAGUGGGGAAUAACUGGCCGAAAGGUCGGCUAAUACUGCAUAAUACCGCAAGGUUAAAGUCGUAAGACGCUUCGGGAGGGGCCUGCGUCCCAUUAGCUAGUUGGUGAGGUAACUGCUCACCAAGGCGACGAUGGGUAGCUGGAUCGAGAGGUUGACCAGCCACACUGGGACUGAGAUACGGCCCAGACUCCUACGGGAGGCAGCAGUAAGGAAUCUUCCACAAUGGGCGAAAGCCUGAUGGAGCAACGCCGCGUGCAGGAUGACGGUCUUCGGAUUGUAAACUGCUUUUAUAUGGGAAGAUUAUGACGGUACCAUAUGAAUAAGCACCGGCUAACUACGUGCCAGCAGCCGCGGUAA
rnacentral:rRNA from 1 species